GGUAUCGCCGUUAGUCAUGUGCAAAUAUGGAUAGCUGUUUUAGCCGUCUUUAUUGACUGGUUUAUAAGAGUUAUCAGAUAUCACUUUGAUUAAAUUAGAGUGCUUAAAGCAAGUGUGUUACUUGGAUAUAAAUGCAUGGAAUGAUGGAAUAUGUUGUUAUUCUAUUUGUUGGUUUUUGAAUGAUAAAAUGAUUGAAAGGAACUGUUGGGGGCAUUCGUAUUGUUGUGAGAGAGGUGAAAUUCUUAGACCACAGCAAGACGAACUACUGCGAAAGCAUUUGCCAAGAAUGUUUUCAUUGAUCAAGAACGAAAGUUAGAGGUUCGAAGGCGAUCAGAUACCACCCUAGUUCUAACCAUAAACUAUGCCAACUAGCAAUUUGCUUUGUAUUUUUUAUGACUAAGUGAGAGGCCACGGGAAACCUAAGUAGGGUUAUGGGGGAAGUAUGGUUGCAAAGCUGAAACUUAAAGGAAUUGACGGAAGGGCACCACCAGGAGUGGAGCCUGCGGCUUAAUUUGACUCAACACGGGAAAACUUACCUGGUCCUGACACUAGAAGGAUUGACAGAUUGAUAGCUCUUUCUUGAUUUGGUGGAUGGUGGUGCAUGGCCGUUCUUAGUUGGUGGAGUGAUUUGUCUGGUUAAUUCCGAUAACGAACGAGACUCUAGCCUAUUAAAUAAUACACGGAAUUUUAUCUUCCCCGGUAUUUCUUAGUGGGAUCAAGCG
rnacentral:rRNA from 1 species